UAUUGCUAUUUUCAUGAGCAAAGUUCAAGAUGCAAAUCCAACAAUGAAAACGUUUGGUCCUAGAAAAAAACAACAGAAAAGAUAUAAGCUGUUAUGCACUCACUGUGAUAUGAAUAUAACCAUACAGUGGACAAAUGCUACAAGGUACAUGGUUAUCCUCUAGGCUUCAUUUAUGGCUAGAAUUCUCCAAGAUUAUUGAAAGUGAUUUGGAUUAUCAAACCCCAAAGGGUAAAGUGCCUUUCCAACUCGCAUUACAUAACCCGGACCUAUACGGUCCAGAUCCAGGUAAAAGCACCUGGGUUUCGAUUUAAAUCCGGUUUCCAGAUUUCUAAUUAUAUAUAAAAAAAAAAUCUUAAGCAAAACUCACCCAACCCUAGAUGUUUCACCGUCUUCCCUCACUCUCACUCUCUCUCUCCCCUAAGCCCAAAACCUUCGAACCUUACCUCCGAAUACCACGGCUUCUUUGCUGCCAUCUCUUCCUGUGACCUCGAAGACAGCUGACCAUAAGACUGCUCCUCCGGUCAAAGAAAAAAUAUCUGCAAUCCACAACAAUGAAAGUAGAAGAAAUGAGAGUGAGAAGGACUGAUGCAGAACAGUGGAUGUCCCAACGUAUGCUCCCUGAUAACUUAAGGGAGCAGGUCAGACGAUAUGAACAAUACAAAUGGCAGGAAACCAGAGGGGUCAGACGAUAUAAACAAUACAAUCCUACCAUUAGAUAUGUAAUUUUCAUAUAUUGUGAUUUUAUGUUUUGUAAUAUAAUGUCUAAAUACCAAAUAAUGUAAUAUAUAGGGAAUUGUAUUAUAUGUUGCAUGCA